rnacentral:lncRNA from 1 species
GACUACUUGCCAUUGUGCUCAUUCGCACAUGCUUAUGAGGGUCGCUCCCUACAAGCCGGCACUCCGAAGAUAGCCAUCGCGAUUCAUAUUCGCCGUGCGGGAUUGGGCGCCGAAGUGGAUUGUCGUGGGCCAGGCUCAUUCCUAGGGUGGGGAUGAUGACUACCACGGGGCCAUUAGGCUCGGCACCAGCCAGACAGCCUACGGGUGGGUCUCAGGGCCAUAGACAGCCUUCGGGUGGGUCUCUUCAGAUUUGACUUGAGUAUUCAAUAUGACAUGUGGACAGAUGAUGACUUAGAGUAUUACUUGG